rnacentral:lncRNA from 1 species
AGGACCCCAGGAUACCUGGAAAGUUGCUCCAGCCUCCCAGGAAAACCUCCAAAGGAAAAAGUUGCCUGAGACAUUUAUGCCUCCAGCACCAAUAAUUACAGCUCCACUUAUGAGCCUUGGCCCUGAGCCACAACAGGCCCUGCUGCCACAGUCCCUAGUCUCCGGUGCAAGCCUGCCUCCUCCUGGAGCCCCGAGAGAAUGCAGCCUGCAGAAAACAAAAAGGAAGCUGGAUGAGGCAGCCCACCGUCUAGAAUGUCUAUACGAGAAGCUGUGCGAGGGGACACUCUCACCCCAUGUCCUGGCUGGGCUCCAU